rnacentral:lncRNA from 1 species
AGUGUUCCUGAUGCACCAGGAAGAACUUGGAAAGCAUUUCCCAGUGACACUUGAGGCACGCGGUGCUGCGAUGCAUGCAGAGUCCUGAGGGUAACCUGGCGCCAUGGAGCCAUGCUGAGAGCCCAACCCCAAAUGUGCACGGUCUCUGUGGGAAAUGGGACCCAGGGAACAGCUGCUCGGACACUAGCUGACUCCAUUGUACAAAAGGGCUGGUCUGGGCUCCUCACCUGCCCCCACCCCCUGCAGCAGAAUGUAAGCUUCAGAGAGAGGUGGAGUGCAAGAGGCGCCCACAGCGAAUGAGCUUGCUCUGCUGAGAAUAACGUCAACCAGCAUUGAUUUAUAUUUGAGCCAAGACCUCCAAGACCUUGAUCUCCUUGGUUUUCUGUUUCCUUAGUUCUCUGAUCUUGCAGCUGGGACCCCUUACAAAGGACCCGGAGGGGCUGAGCCCCAUCCUGCUCUGAGACAGCCCCGCCCUGGUCCAGGCAGAUCAAGGGGCCCAGGGCCUGGGCUCACAGGCUCAGCCUCCCGUCGGGUCCGGCUGCUGGUCCCACCCUGCCUCCUGACACGGAACCUUGUCCCUGCUCUGGCCUUGAUGCCUCUCAUUUUCACAUCUGCAUGUUAGUGAAGAAAUGUGGCCUCUCCUUCAGAGCAGCCUUCUGCCUGGCUUUCCUGACUAAUACCCAGAUUCAGAGUUUUGACACUUUUGAAAGGAAGACUGGGCACUUCCCAGGGCAGACCAGGG